GAAUCCAUCUUUGAAAUUGAAUCUGCAGAACAAAAGGAACCAUAAGACUAGAGUAAAGAAAAAAAAUGAUUUAGUGUGUCACAAGUAAUAUGGGAUUGACUUCUUUUUUACAACAAAAAGAACCAUAAGACUAGAAUAAAGAAAUAAAUGAUAGUGUGACAAAACAACAUUUUUAAUGAAGAGAGAAAAUGAAACAUUACAACAUGAAGGAUGAUGGAUCCUCCUAUCUUAACCAGCACAAAACAAGAAGCAACACCCAAAUGGAAAAAUGGCUAAAAAUGUAUUGUUCUCUAAUCCUAUAUUGAAAAAUGCUUAAAGAUACUCAGAAAGCCCCUGCUGUCCAAUGGCAAAUUCCAAAUUCCAAGUCCUCUUCUACCUCAACAAGCACACAAUGCAAUAAGCCACACUGUCACAAUUAAUAUACACCAACAGAUUUGAGAUGCGAAUUCAAUAAGAAGCAACACUAAUUCAUCUCAAUAGAACUUACAGGAAUUUAUCAAAGUUCAAAGACUAAUCAAUUCUAAUGUUCGCUAAAGACUUAGAAGCCAAGUUUUAGCAAAAUAGCAUCAUCUGAUUAAGAUGCCAAGAAGACAGCCAGGAAUAUGGAUCCUAGAGUAUCAUAUGAAGUGCAAUUUGAAACCUCAUGAGGAACUUGAACAUAUGUACAAUUACGCAUGUUCCAGAAUCAAGUAUUUGCUAAUCAAAGUAAGUCUUCACAUGAAGGCAUCAGUAGCAGAACUGCAGAAGCAAGAUGGAAUAUCCAAAGAAUAGAGAGGAUUCUUAACCCAAUAACGGGAAAAGAAUUUUUGGCUCUAAAAUAAAGUGUCAUUCUAACCAAAUAACAGCACAUUCUAGACUCUAAAACAAAACAUCAAUAUAAAUUAUUAAGCCACAUUUUAAUCCAAUCAGCUUUCCGUACAUGUGAAAAAUAAUAAUAAAGAAAAUCACAUUCACAACAAUCUAACAAGAUUAGACUUCCAUUUUGAAAUCUUUUCAUUUAUCAAACUGGUAACAAAUUCAAGGAAAAUGAGCCCAAGAUGCUACAGAAAGCAAUAGUAAAGUAGUCAAGUCCUGCUACUGCUCAUAACUCCAAAUUGGAAGUGCCAGAGAGCAAAUAUUACUUACCAAUAAUGGAGCCAAGUGUCUCCAUUUCAAGAACAUGCUAUCAUACUGGCUAACCUUAAGAACCAUGACAGAUAUGCGAAUGGAACAUCACAAAACUGAACCAAACCCAAUACGGUCCAGUGGAUUCUUGGCAUCAAGGACCAAGCUCAAUUGAAGAUGAAGAAUACAGAAAUCAAAGAUUCAAUUCCCAUUCUGUAAUUCUGUUGAACAUAAAUCGCAAAGGCACAUGCAGAAAAAGGCAAUAACAACACAAAUCCAACAGUACCCAAGAAGAAUUCUAACACAUCCGUACAAUCUAUAGUAGUAAUAAU
rnacentral:misc_RNA from 1 species